UACGUAGGGACCAAGCGUUGUUCGGAUUUACUGGGCGUAAAGGGCGCGUAGGCGGCAAUUCAAGUCAUCUGUGAAAUCUCCAAGCUUAACUUGGAAACUGCCGUUGAUACUAUCUGUCUUGAAUGUUGUGGAGGUGAGCGGAAUAUGUCAUGUAGCGGUGAAAUGCUUAGAUAUGACAUAGAACACCAAUUGCGAAGGCAGCUCACUACACAAUUAUUGACUCUGAGGCACGAAAGCGUGGGGAUCAAACAGG
rnacentral:rRNA from 1 species